rnacentral:rRNA from 1 species
GACGAACGCUGGCGGCGUGCUUAACACAUGCAAGUCGAACGGUAAAGCGCUUUCCUUUUUGGUUGGUGUGGAGGAGUGGCGGACGGGUGAAUAACACGUUCGUAACCUGCCCUCUUCUUCUGGAUAACCGCAUGAAAGUUUCGCUAAUACCGGAUAUUCUGGAUCUGUCGCAUCAUGGGUCUUUGAGAGCUUUUGUUUCUGUAUGGGAUGGGGUCGCGGCCUCUCAGCUUGUGGGGGGGGUCAUGGCCUACCAAGGCGGUGACGGGUAGCCGGCCUGAGAGGGUAGACGGACACAGUGGGAGAGAGACACGGCACAGACUUAUAGGGGGGGCAGCAGUGGAGAAUAGGGCACAGUGGGCAAAAGGCUGAAGCAGCGACGCCGCGGGAGGGAUGGAGGUCUGCGGGGUGUGAACCUCUUUUGGGAGUGAAGCAGGACUGCCUUGUGUGUGGGUGGGUUGACGGUAGCUGGAAAAGAAGCGCCGGCUAAAUACGUG